rnacentral:rRNA from 1 species
GAUCCUGGCUCAGAUUGAACGCUGGCGGCAUGCCUUACACAUGCAAGUCGAACGGCAGCACGGGUGCUUGCACCUGGUGGCGAGUGGCGAACGGGUGAGUAAUAUAUCGGAACGUACCUUAUCGUGGGGGAUAACGCAGCGAAAGCUGCGCUAAUACCGCAUACGCCCUGAGGGGGAAAGCGGGGGGACCGUAAGGCCUCGCGCGAUUAGAGCGGCCGAUAUCUGAUUAGCUUGUUGGUGGGGUAAAAGCCCACCAAGGCGACGAUCAGUAGCUGGUCUGAGAGGACGAUCAGCCACACUGGGACUGAGACACGGCCCAGACUCCUACGGGAGGCAGCAGUGGGGAAUAUUGGGCAAUGGAGGAAACUCUGACCCAGCGACGCCGCGUGCGGGAUGAAGGCCUUCGGGUUGUAAACCGCUUUCAGCAGGGAAGAAGCGAAAGUGACGGUACCUGCAGAAGAAGCACCGGCUAACUAUGUG